rnacentral:rRNA from 1 species
AUUGAACGCUGGCGGCAGGCCUAACACAUGCAAGUCGAGCGGAUGACGGGAGCUUGCUCCUUGAUUCAGCGGCGGACGGGUGAGUAAUGCCUAGGAAUCUGCCUGGUAGUGGGGGACAACGUUUCGAAAGGAACGCUAAUACCGCAUACGUCCUACGGGAGAAAGCAGGGGACCUUCGGGCCUUGCGCUAUCAGAUGAGCCUAGGUCGGAUUAGCUAGUUGGUGGGGUAAUGGCUCACCAAGGCGACGAUCCGUAACUGGUCUGAGAGGAUGAUCAGUCACACUGGAACUGAGACACGGUCCAGACUCCUACGGGAGGCAGCAUUGGGGAAUAUUGGACAAGGGGCGAAAGCCUGAUCCAGCCAUGCCGCGUGUGUGAAGAAGGUCUUCGGAUUGUAAAGCACUUUAAGUUGGGAGGAAGGGCAGUAAGUUAAUACCUUGCUGUUUUGACGUUACCGACAGAAUAAGCACCGGCUAACUUCGUGCCAGCCGCCGCGGUAAGAC